rnacentral:misc_RNA from 1 species
UCGUACGAGAGGUUCUUUCGGGACUGGAGAGUGGCGCACGGGUGAGUAACGCGUGGGGACCUACCUCUUAGUGGGGGAUAACGGUUGGAAACGACCGCUAAUACCGCAUACGCCCUUUUGGGGGGAAAGAUUUAUCGCUAAGAGAUGGACCCGCGUUGGAUUAGAUAGUUGGUGAGGUAACGGCUCACCAAGUCAGCGAUCCAUAGCUGGUUUGAGAGGAUGAUCAGCCACACUGGGACUGAGACACGGCCCAGACUCCUACGGGAGGCAGCAGUGGGGAAUAUUGGACAAUGGGCGGAAGCCUGAUCCAGCCAUGCCGCGUGAGUGAAGAAGGCCUUCGGGUUGUAAAGCUCUUUCAGAUGCGAAGAUGAUGACGGUAACAUCAGAAGAAGCCCCGGCUAAUUUCGUGCCAGCAGCCGCGGUAAUACGAAAGGGGCAAGCGUUGUUCGGAUUUACUGGGCGUAAAGGGCACGCAGGCGGUCUUGCCAGUCAGGGGUGAAAGCCCGGGGCUCAACCCCGGAACUGCCUCUGAUACUGCAGGACUAGAGACUAGGAGAGGGUGGUGAAUUCCCAGUGUAGAGGUGAAAUUCGUAGAUUUGGGGAGGAACACCAGAGGCGAAGGCGGCCACCUGGACUAGAUCUGACGCUCAGUGCGAAAGCGGUGGGGGAGCAAACAGAUUAGAUACCCCUGUAGUCCACGCCGUAAACGAUG